rnacentral:rRNA from 1 species
ACGUAGGGGGCGAGCGUUGUCCGGAAUUACUGGGCGUAACGCGCGCGUAGGCGGCGCGAUACGAGCGGUGUGCAAGCCCCCGGCUCAACUGGGGAGGGUCACCGCUAACGGUCGUGCUGUGAGUGCAGGAGAGGGAUGUGGAACUCCGGGAGUAGCGGUGAAAUGCGUAGAGACCCGGAGGAACACCAGUGGCGAAGGCGGCAUCCUGGUCUGCGACUGACGCUGAGGCGCGAAAGCGAGGGGAGCGAACGGG